rnacentral:rRNA from 1 species
AACCUGCGGAAGGAUCAUUACCGAGUGAGGGCCCUUUGGGUCCAACCUCCCACCCGUGUUUAUUUUACCUUGUUGCUUCGGCGGGCCCGCCUUUACUGGCCGCCGGGGGGCUCACGCCCCCGGGCCCGCGCCCGCCGAAGACACCCCCGAACUCUGUCUGAAGAUUGAAGUGUGAGUGAAAAUAUAAAUUAUUUAAAACUUUCAACAACGGAUCUCUUGGUUCCGGCAUCGAUGAAGAACGCAGCGAAAUGCGAUACGUAAUGUGAAUUGCAAAUUCAGUGAAUCAUCGAGUCUUUGAACGCACAUUGCGCCCCCUGGUAUUCCGGGGGGCAUGCCUGUCCGAGCGUCAUUGCUGCCCUCAAGCCCGGCUUGUGUGUUGGGCCCCGUCCUCCGAUUCCGGGGGACGGGCCCGAAAGGCAGCGGCGGCACCGCGUCCGGUCCUCGAGCGUAUGGGGCUUUGUCACCCGCUCUGUAGGCCCGGCCGGCGCUUGCCGAUCAACCCAAAUUUUAUCCAGGUGA